rnacentral:rRNA from 1 species
AUUGAACGCUGGCGGCAUGCCUUACACAUGCAAGUCGAACGGCAGCACGGGUGCUUGCACCUGGUGGCGAGUGGCGAACGGGUGAGUAAUACAUCGGAACAUGUCCUGUAGUGGGGGAUAGCCCGGCGAAAGCCGGAUUAAUACCGCAGACGAUCUACGGAUGAAAGCGGGGGACCUUCGGGCCUCGCGCUAUGGGGUUGGCCGAUGGCUGAUUAGCUAGUUGGUGGGGUAAAGGCCUACCAAGGCGACGAUCAGUAGCUGGUCUGAGAGGACGACCAGCCACACUGGGACUGAGACACGGCCCAGACUCCUACGGGAGGCAGCAGUGGGGAAUUUUGGACAAUGGGCGAAAGCCUGAUCCAGCAAUGCCGCGUGUGUGAAGAAGGCCUUCGGGUUGUAAAGCACUUUUGUCCGGAAAGAAAUACUUGGCUCUAAUACAGUCGGGGGAUGACGGUACCGGAAGAAUAAGCACCGGCUAACUACGUG